CCCAAGCUCCACCCUCUCCGAAUCUCCAUUCCCAAAACCCUUGCCAAACCCCACCUCCACCAGUCUCUCAAUUCCAUCUCCGUCAUGCCGCCAUCUCCCUCGCCGUGGAGAUUGAGAAGGCGCGCUGUUCGACUUCGACCUCACCUUCUUGAUCUAGGCCAUGCAAUUCCUCCUCCUCAUGGCGACGCUAUCGAAGAUGAAGUCGUGACGUGGACACAGGCGGAGGUGAAAAACAAGGAGAGAGAGAGAGAUAAGAGGCGUGGGUAUUUUGGUCACGAAAAAAAUAUAAUAAGUCAAAAAUUUUGUUAAUGGAAAUAGUCUUUAAAAGGUGCGCUGUGGAGAUUGAGAAGGCGCGCUGUUCGACUUCGACCUCACCUUCUUGAUCUAGGCCAUGCAAUUCCUCCUCCUCAUGGCGACGCUAUCGAAGAUGAAGUCGUGACGUGGACACAGGCGGAGGUGAAAAACAAGGAGAGAGAGAGAGAGAUAAAAAGCGUGGGUAUUUUGGUCACGAAAAAAAUAUAAUAAGUCAAAAAUUUGUUAGUGGAAAUAGUCUUUAAAAGUAUGUUGGGCUGAUGAGAAUUUUAGAAUCUCUGUUUGUUAAUUAGAAAAAAAUGUUUAGAUUUAGGGCUAGUGAGAAUUUUCUCUUUAAAAAAUCUAGUGUACACCUUCCUGGGUUCAUUUGAAUGAAUCAAAUCUCACUUCUAUAUUUCCCACAUUUCUUACCACCUGAGUGAACUUAAAGUUGAAUAUUAACAAUUAAUUAAGUAAUAAUUUUUAGUAAUAGUACGUUUCUAUAAACCCUUACAUUUUUUAUAGGCCAUUCACUGGAGCAACAAUUUUCCGUAUACGUACUCCAUAUGUUUCACUGCUAUAUAUACAGUCUUUAUCAGGUCCAAACAUCUUUAUUUAUUCAAAAUGUACGAAUUUUGCCAAUAGAACCACUUUUC
rnacentral:lncRNA from 1 species